rnacentral:rRNA from 1 species
GCAUCGAUGAAGAACGCAGCGAAACGCGAUAGGUAAUGUGAAUUGCAGAAUUCCGUGAAUCAUCGAAUCUUUGAACGCACCUUGCGCUCCAUGGCAUUCCGUGGAGCAUGCCUGUUUGAGUGCCGCGAAAUCUCCCACCCCUAGCGGUUGCCGCAAGGCGCCGCCGGGCGGCGGGGUUGGUUGGGUGCCGCUGCCUGGGCUUUGGCCCAGGCUCGCCCGAAAUGCAUGAGCGCUUAGCACUCGCACCGUCUCGAGGGAAGGCGGCGGAGCUGGCAUCUGCGCAUGGCAUGAUACGUCAUUUGCUGUGUGGCAGCCCAGCGACCCGAGAGUGUGUGUGCGCUANUACACGCCCUUUCAUUUCUGGUCUCAAAUCAGGUAGGGAUACCCGCUGAACUUAAGCAUAUCAAUAAGCGGAGGA